UCGGGUGUGGUGUAGGAAGCAUUGCUGCAGGUGUUGACACCGGAAGAGCUUUCAGCAGCAGGACGGGGUUCGACUCCCCGCGCCCGAA